UGUCCACUCACUCUGACAUUAUUAAAUGUUUUCCCCUGGGCCCUUUGUUUUAAAUUGCCCAGUCUGCAGAGUUCGGGUUGGAUCUAGUAGGAGACGAGGCAUAGUCACCCGCAUUUCUGCCAGUUUUCGCCAGUAGGUUACUUGUUCAACCUACUCGUGUUUUCUUGCUUCCGCUUGUGUUUAGUAGCUCUGAAUACUUUAGAAUUUUUGUAUAUUAUGCGACGUUCAGAAGUGAUAAAUUAAGAGUGUAAUUUGAAAUUUUCGAGUUAGGGUUGUCCAUCUGCAAGGGAGAUUUUCUUAAUCUUUUCAGUAAAUUUUCCUUGGAGGUGGUCCCCGCACGACUUACUCUGGGUUUCAGGGUGAAAUUCGGGGUGGGUCGUGUCACAGGGCGGUCCCUUGGCGACCCCUUGGAGUAUCAUGGCGACCCCUUGGUGGCCUUUGGCGAGCUUAGGAGGGUCAAGGCAGCCCUCUUGGCGGGUUAAGGCGGCCUCUAGCGGCCCCUUGGUGGCCCUUAACGGGUCAAGACUACCUCUAGCGGCUCAAGGCAGCAAAAGCGGGUUAAGUCAGGUCAAAGCGGAUGAAGGCGGCCCUAGGCGGGUCAAAGCAGCCCUAGGCGGGUCAAUGGCGGCCUUGGUUGCUCUAGGCGGGGCUUGGAGGGUCAAGGCGACCAUUUGACGGCCCUAGACGGGCCUAGAAGGGUCAUGGCGACCCCUUAGCGAGUCUUGGCGGCCUGUUGGUGGCACUAGGAGGGCCUAGGAGGAUCAAGGCGGCCCCAGGCGGCGCCUUGGUGGCUCUAGAUGGGUCAAGGCAGGUGAACGCGGGUGAAGACGGCCCAAGGCGGGUGAAAGUGGCCCUUAACGAGACAAGGUGUCCCCUUGGCAGCCCUAGACAGGUCAAGGCGGUCUCUUGAUGACCCUAGGAGGGUCAAGGCGGCCUCUUAGCUGCCCUAGGAGGGUCAAGGUGGCCCAUUGGCGGCCCUAGACGGGUCAAAGCGGCCUCUUGGCGGCCCUAAGAGGGUCAAAGCAGGUUAAGGUGGGUCAAGGCGGGUCAAAGCGGCCUCUUGGCAACCCUAGGAGGGUCAAGGCAGCUCAUCGGCAGCCCUAGGAGGGUUAAGGUGGCCCAUUGGUGGCCCUAGACAGGUUGUUACAACCUUAGUGUCGAGGAAGCUUGGGCAGGGUGUGAACCUUGUGCCAUGCCCAAGCGGGGCACGCGCAGGUGUCAAAGACAAUCGCAAGAAUGCAAGACAAGUUAGUGCAAGGAGGCGUGGCAUCGUGCACAACCAAGGUGCAUAGCACUCAUGCACCCUAGGGCCCGACAAGGGUCCAUCAAGGUGUGCAGCCGGGUCCACAACACUCAUUCACCCCAGGGUCCAUCAAGGGUCCAGCAGGGUGCGCGGCAGGGUGUACAACACUUAGGCACCCCAGGGUCCGGCAAGGGUCCAGCAGGGUGCGCGGCAAAGGUGUACAGCAGGGUGCACAACACCUAUGCACCUAAGGGUCCGUAAAGGGUCCAGUAAGGUGCACUACAAGCGCGCAGCAGAUGGGUGUGAUAUCUCUAGCACCCUAGGGUCCGAUAGGGUGCGAGUCUCGGGUGCACAAAGGUGCAUACACUGAUGACAAAGACCAUGUGUUGGGAAUAGACAACACAAUGGCACGGCGUGGGCUGCAUAAGGACGGCACGCAUAAAGGGUCGAAGGUAGGCAAGGUGCGGCAAGCUAGCACCAUGUGCGUGUGUAGUGUGCAUGGGCGUCAAGGUCGGGUGCGCAAGCAUGCGACGACGUGCUUCCUACAUGCAUGGCAUGUGUGACACUUGGGGCAGUAGUUACUAAGUAGUGGGCGAUUAUCCAAGAAGCACUACACAUGGUGGUAACCACGAAGUGGGGAGCAUCAUGCGCGGCGGUUACCAAGUAGUGGAAGUCAUCCACACAAGUAGUGGGUGGUUACUUACACAAGGUGGUUGCCAAAGUAAUGGGUGGUUACUUACAAGGUGGUUGCCAAAGUAGUGGGAGGUUACUUAUGCAAGGAAGUUACCAAUAAGGAUAAGACCAUACAGUUACAAGUAGUGGGCUCACAAAGGGAAGUUGCAUAAUUGCUCUUUGUACUCAUUGUACUCUUGUAAUCCUUUAAUAGAAUUAAAGGUUGGGAGAGGGCCUCCGGUAAACACUUGUGCGUUGGAUUGUGUGUGUGUGAGCUUACUCGUUGCUAAUUAGUUGAAAGUCUUCCGCUGUGUACUAAGCUAUUGAGUGAAAGGGUUGGCUGGUCAAGUAGGGGAGGGCUGCUUGGCGCCAUCACAAGGGUGAAAUUUAGGGAAAACCUAUAACCUUGUGACACAGGUCAAGGCGGCCUCUUGGCGGCCCUAGAGGGUCAAGGCGGGCCAAGAAGGGCCUAGGAGGGUCAAAGCGGGUCAAAGCGAGUCAAGGCGACCCAAGACGAGACAAGGCGGCCCCUUAGCGGCCUAAGACGGGUGAAGGCGGCCCUAGGCGGGUCAAGACGGCUGGUUAGCGCCCCUAGGGGGUCAAGGCGGGCUAAGGCGGGCCAAGGAGGGCCUAGACAGGUCAAUGCGGGCCUAGGCGGCCCUAAACAGGUCAAAGAGGCCUCUUGGCGACCCUAGGAGGGUCAAGGCGUCCCAAGGAAGGUCAAGACGGGCCAAAGAAGGUCAGGGCCGCCACUUAGCGGCCCUAAAUGGGUUAAGGCGGAUCAAGGCGGCCGCUUAGCGGCCCUAGGCAGGUCAAGGCAGCCCUUUGGCGGUGCUAGGCAGCCUCUUAGAGGCCUUAGGUGGGUCAUGGAGGCCCCUUGGCGGGCCUAGGAGGAUCAAGGCGGCCCCUUGGUAGCCCUAGGAGGGUGAAGGCGGCCAUAAGCGGUUCAUGGCAGCCCUAUCGCUGCCCUGGACGGGCCUAGGAGGGGCAAGACGGGUCAAGGCAGCCCCUUGGUGGCCCUAGACGAGUCAAGGCGGCCUCUUGGUGGCCCUAGGAAGGUCAUGGCGGCCCAAAGCUUGUCAAGGCGGGUCAAAGCGGCCCUAAGCAGGUCAAGGCGGUCGCUUGGUGGCCCUAGGCAGGUCAAGGCGGCCCUAUUACGGGUCAAGGUGGCUCCUUGGCGGCCCUAGUUGGGUCUCGGCGGGCCGUAGGGAGGUCAAAGCGGCCCCUUGGCGGGUCAAAGAGGCCCCUUAGUGGCCUAAGACUGGUGAAGGCGGCCCCGACCCCUUAGUGGCCCUACGCGGGUCAAAGCCGCCGGUUAGUGGCCCAAGGCGGGUCAAGGUAGCCCACUAGUGGCCCUAGUUGGGUCAAGAAGGCCUCUUGGCAACCCUAAGAGGGUUAAGGCGUCCCAAGGUGGGCCAAGUCAGGUUAAGGCAGAUCAUGGCGGCCCCUUGGCGGGUUAGGAGGUUUAAGGCGGCUAAAGGCGGGUCAAGGCGGCCCCUUGGUGGCCUUAUAUGGCUCAAGUCGCCCAAGGUGGUUUAAGGCGGCCCAAGGCAAGUUAAGGUGGGGUUAAAGCGGGCCAAAGCGGGUUAAGACGCCCCUAGACAGGUCAUGGCGGCGCUAGGCAGCCUCUUGGUUGCCCUAGACGAGCCUAGGAGGGUCAAGCCAACCCCGUCGCGGCCCUUUUGUGUCCCUAGACGCGAUUCAGCAGCCCUUGGCAGGUUAAGGCGGCCCAAGUUAUGUCUCGACUGGCCUUAGGGAGGUCAAAGCAGCACCUUGGCGGGUUAGGGCGGCCCCUUAACGGUCUAAGACGGAUGAAGGUGGCCCCUUGGUGGUCCUAGAUGAGCCUAAGGGGGUCAAGACGGCCUAAGACGGGUCAAGGUGGGCCAAGGUGGGUUAAAACGGGUGAGGCGGGCCAAGGCGGCCUAAGAUGGGACAAGGCGGCCCUAGGCGUGCCUAGGAGGGUCAUGGCGACCCCUUGGUGAGUCAUGGCGGCCUUUGGUGGCCAUAGGCAAGCCCCUUAGAAGGUGAAGGCGGCCCCUAGCUGGGUGAAGGCGGCCCCUUGGCGACCUUAAACGUGUGAAGGUGACCCCCUUGGUUGCCCUAGACGGGUCAAGGUGGCCCCUUGUGUCACAUCCCGACCCUUAAAUUUUACCUUAUUUACUAGCUUGGUAUUAAUAAGAAUUUUACCGUCUUCGUCAAUGAGUUAUUAGUUUAAUUGGUCCCUAGAGGGAUUUUGGGGCACGUUUAUUUCGGAGGAUUAUUCGUAGGAGAAAAAUAUGACGACGGUAAAAAUGGUAAAUUUUAGCUAGUAAAAGGUAUUUCCAGCCGCCCGUCCGCCGCCGUCUGGCCACUGUUCGCCGCCGCACCGGUCCCAAACAGUCGACCGUCAACCUAGCUUCCUUCCUGGACCGGUGAGAGGCUCCCUAGCGCCGCCGUGAGAGAGAUAUCAAGCUCCCAAAGCCCUCCGUCAUCGGAACUUCCUCCUCUGGCCACCAAUCCGGGCAAGCCUUAUAUAGUUUUGAAGGUCUUCAACCCAGUUGCCUUGCCCUAGAAGGACUCGGUCCAGUUUGCUUCAGGUGAGGAGAACCGGUGAGUGGAAGUCCUAGGGUUUUUUGUAUUGUUUUCGUUCGAUUGGCAUAGUUAGGCUUGGAAUUGGUGUUUGUGCUAGUUAGGAAAGUUGUAGAGGGAGUUGAGAGGAAGAUGCUGUCAAAAUUUGGUAGGCAUUGGAGGUCGCCGGAGUCGACCUCCGCAGGCGGCAACGCCGUCGUUGUUUGGGGGAUUUUCGUGGUUUUAUUCGUGUUAUAAUUAGAGGAGUUUAAUGAAGUGAUUUGUGAAAUUUUUGGAGGAGUUUUAGAUAGGUUUGAGAAUUUUUAAAGUUUGGUAUUUUGGCGGUUAUUUAAGGUAGAAUCCGGCCGUUGGAUUAAAGUCGUAUAAUCUGUAGAGGGUUAGCUGCCGGUAAUUGUGUUGAUGUUUGGCCAUUUCGUUUUUAAGAAUGGAGAAGUUGGGUAAGGAUGAGCGUGGUUACGAGUCAUAUUUAAUUUUGUCUAUUUUGUUUAAAUAUUGAAAUUUGAGUUGGGAAUUUAUUAUUAUAUUUGAAACAGGACGUGAGGAGGCUCGAGCGGAAGAGGCCUCGGAUCGACAUCAGGCUUAGGCCUAAUUUGUGAGUGGACUUUUGUUUUAAAUAAUAUGCAUGCUAUGGUUCAUGGAUGAACAAUUAAUUUUGUUGGAGCAUUUGACGUCAUUUUAAUUUUGACGAUUUUAUUUCUCUUAGAGAGUCACCGAAAAUGAGAUUUUCGGUGAAUAUAAAUAUGUAUUUAUGAGGAGAGUAUAUAUAUAAAUGCUAGCUAACCAUAUGUGUAUGUCCACUUUAAUGGCGUAGCAUAUAGCUGCAUUAUGGUGUGACGUGACCAUUGGACGUGAACGUAGUAACCCUAUAUAAGUGUUUAAUUCUUAUAGGGGGUAUGGACACAUAUUUAUACACCCGUCUGUCCACCUUAAUGGCGUAGUGUAUCACCGCAUUAAGGCAUGACGUGAGCGUUCGACGCGAGCGUAGUAGCCCUAUAUAAUUCCAUAAAAUUAUAUAGGGAGUAUGGAUGUCACACCCCGGACCCGGUGUCGGUGGUUUCCAAACACCUAACGCCGAACUCGAGGUGUGAGCGGGAAAAGUAAAAGAAAAUAGAACAAUUUCAAAUACUUUUAUCGAAAUAAAAGAAAAUAAAACGUUUACAAUAACAAAAACAAAAAAAAGGACAGGCCUUGCGAUCUAUCUCACAUAAAACGUUUACAAUAACAAAAACAAAAAAAAAGACAGGCCUUGCGAUCUAUCUCACUUCUAAUCUUCUGUACUUCUCGCCAUUUAUACACGUAAGCUAACGUCACAGUUAGUCUUCUAGAAACACGUGUCCUCGUACAAACCUAAACAAGACUCAUAGGGGUAAGCUUACGCUCAGUAGGACCUAACCUUUUUAAGUUAUACUUAACUAGGUCGCACAAACAAGUUAUCAAAUAAUCAAACAAUACCUUCAAUAUAUAACGACAAUUUUAUACAUGUAUGCUAAUGAAUGACUUCCUCGAUUAUUGGCUGAUCAGUCCAUACAUCAAAGACAGGUGAGCCUACACGUCCAAUACCGUGUAUUUUACCAACCGGGGGUGACUCAUAUGUCUCGAAUAUAUGAUCUAACAAUCAGUAAUAUCUCACCACCUGUACCUCUUUUGUUAGUCUUCUUGUUAUACUCAUGGUCUCCCGAUCCGCAACCCAAUAAGAUCGUUUUAUCGAUGUCCGCCAUCGACAGGGCAUAUUUUCCCUACAUUUGUGCACGUGUGGGCUAAUCAUAGAUCUCGAGGACAACUCAUGAGGAAACUCAACUACACAAAAUGUAUAUAUUCUAUCAAUCUUUUUCUCAUCUCUCCAUAAUCACCUUUCUCACAAUUCUCACUAAUCUCACAAUGCAUUAUGCAUAUCAAUUGUAUAACAAUAUUCGCAUUAUAUAUCGAACACAUGCUUUUACAGAAAGCAAUAACAUUGAUUACGAAAGUCAACGAUAUCAAUAAUAUCGAAAACAAUAACAAUCAAGAAUUAAUCAAUCAAUGUCACACAAAUCACUCAUUUCAAUUAUAAACUAAUUAUCGUUUUAAAGAAAGGUUCCCCGACAUAAACCCUACCUAGAAUCCAAGCGCUACUUCUUGAAGCUAAAUAAAAUUAGUAACUCAACGACACGCUUUCUGAAAUCAUUAUCCUUCUGCUCUUGAAAUCCAGCUACUCAUAUUCGAUCCUCGCAUCAAAUACUUGUUCUGACAAAACCGGCAAAUUACUUCAAAUCAUUGCCAUCAAAUCCACAAAAAUUACUAAGGACACCCAAAUCCUUAUUUCUAAUUCCUCCCACAUUUUUUUUUUGAUAAAUUCCAAACCAUAUGCCAUAUGAACUCAUUUCGCAUUAUCCCCACCUUUAAAUCUACAUUUGCAGUUAACGUUGUCGGCGUAUCCCAACUAUGCUCCAAACACCGAUCUAAACUUUCCAGAAUUACUCUGGACACCCAACAAACUUGGCAUUCAUAAUAAUUCCUUACUCCAUAUUUCUUCCAACUUCCACAACAGGAACCUAGCCUUUCUAAAACAUCUAAACACCAAACUUCUCCAUUCUGUGCAUCAAGCAUGUACAACAUCAACAUCAUGUCCUGCAAUUUCAUCCAAAACAUAAACCAAACCUAAAACUAUCAACCUCCAUUUUCGUCACCAAACAACACUGCCCCAAAACCCACUUCAUCCAACUUUCAAUCUCCUGCCAUUCAAAUACAUAUCAUAGCACCCCUCCAAAAUCAGUAUACUAUGAAAAACCAGAAACUACAAGAACCACCACCUGCCACCGCCGUACACAGCAGCACUCACGGCGGCCGACGUCUGCCCAAACACCAACUUCUCCAAAACUUAAUCAAACUCGAAUUCAAGCAUAUAAACAGGUAGAGCUCGACAAAUGGACCAACUUUCAUACCUUGAUCGAAACCAAUCGUCGCCGGAAAACACCCAGAAACUCGCCGGAAAACCUAAAAGCUUCUCCUCUUCGAAUCUCUCUCUCCUCAGCUUCCCAUGGAAAUCCAAUAGCACAGCGACGUCGGGGAGGACGAGAGGAAUCUUCAAGUACCAUUCAAGCUCGUCGCCGUCGUCGGAAUCGGAAACCCGAUCGGAGAGGCAGUCACCUUCUCUCCUCCUUCUCUCUCUCUCGCCGGAGCUCCUCUUCGAAAUCCAAGGACAUAGUGAGGUCGGGGACAGCGAGACGAAGCUUUUGCCACCGGUAUUGCACCGGGAGACGGCCGGAAGACGGAGAAAGGAGUUGAGCUCGGUCGCGUCGGUCUGGGCUGAUGUCUGGGUUUUUCUGAUGUUGUCCAAACUAAUCCAACCUUUUUAUGUGUCUUGCGAUCAACAGCCGAGAUCAAACCGACCUAGAAUAUAUUUUUAAUUAAUUUUUGGAUAAUAUCCAACAUCCAAAAACCAUUAAAAAUAACUCCGAGAUAUCCAAACGAUGUUCUGAAAAAUCAUACGAACUCGUUACGACGUCUAGAUUAAUCCUAUGGGCUCGAAAGACAAAAUUUGACAAACUAAAAAUUCUAAAAUUUUUCAAAAGCUACUAAGAAUUGAAAGAAUAAUUGAAAUCGAAAUAAAAAUAACUCAAAAAUAAUUUUCCUUUUAAAAAUAGAAAACUGAAAUUCCAAGAUGUUACAAUGGACGUGUGUAAAUACAUACAUAUAUAUUUUAGAGCUUGAGAAGCUCGAUAUUUAAGAGAUGAAAGUUUUAUCACUUGAGGUAUGCAUUCGAUUUUCCCUUGGAAAUUGAAUUGGGAAAACAUAAAUAUUUUAUUUAUUCUUUAUUCAAAUUUAUUUUUGUCCACUCACUCUAACGUUAUUAAAUGUUUUCCCCUGUGCCAUUCGUUUUAAAAUGCCCAGUUUGUAAAGUUCGGGUUGGCACUAGUAGGAGGCGAGACGUAGUUACCCACUUUUCCACCACUUUUCACCAGUAGAUUAUCUGCUUAACUUACCAGUGUAUUUUCUUGCUUCCGCUAGUAUGCUUCCGCUAGUAUUAGUAGCUCUGAUUACCCUUGAGGAUAAUGUAUAUUAGCUCGGUUCUGUGCUAAGUCUUGGAUUUUAAUUUGGAAUAUUUGAAGGUUGAAGUUUGUUAUUUCCUAAUUGGAUAUUUAUCUGAUGGAUUAGAAGAUGGUUUGUGUUAUAUUGUUGUGGUGGUUGUAUUGUGGGGAGCGGGUGGCUCUAGGGGUUGAGGUUGGAUGUGUCGUUAUAAGAGUGUGGUUUGAAUUUUUCAAGUUAAGGUUGUCCAUUUUCAAGGGAGGUUAUGCCUAAUUUUUCAGUAAAUUUUCCUUGGAGGUGGUCCCCGUAAGACUUACUUCGGGUUUCAUGGUGAAAUUUGGGGUGGGUCUUGACACCUUGGUUGCCCUAGAAGGGUGAAGGCGGCCCUAGGUGGGCUAAGGCGGCCCAUUGGUGGCCCAUUGGUGGCUCUAGCCGAGUUAAGACGGCCUAGGUGGGUUAAGGCGGCCCCUUGGUGGCCCUAGAUGGGUCAAGACGGCCUAUGGGCGGCCCUAACCAUUGAGUAGCAGAAUAUGCAUUAAUCACCUCAUAUUUUUAUUUUGCUAUGGGUUAUCAUCACUUGGGUGUGGCAACUGAGAUUUGCUUGUUAUCUGCAAAUCUGCAAUCCUACUGUUAUUUCUUGCUUUACAUAAGCAUCCCAACCUUAUGAAUGUCUAUCCAUUCACUACCAUUUAUCAGAUAGAGAAUUAUUGCCAUGUUUGUGUGUGUAGUUUCAUACCAUUUCCAUGUUUGUAUCACUUCUAGUUGGAUUGGUCAUUUCGUGGCUCAGUAGCUUCUUGAUACUUUAUUAUUAUAGUGUUAGAAGUCAGGCAAAUCUCAUAGUUCAUUUUCAUGCUAAUAUGUGUUUUUGCUUAUUCUCAUCUUGAACACUAUAAUAGUAAAGUAUCAAGAAACUUGACUAGCUAAUACAAUUUUGGACUAAUUUCAGUUUACCCCCAUCAACUUUAGGUCGAUUAUCCUGUUAGUCAUUCUUCUUUCAAUUUCAUCAAAAACACCCCUCAACUCCCAAUUUUCAUCAGCCAUGCA
rnacentral:lncRNA from 1 species